rnacentral:sRNA from 1 species
UGAAUAUUUGGUGUCGAUUUGGUUUGUC